rnacentral:rRNA from 1 species
GAUGAACGCUGGCGGCGCGCUUAACACAUGCAAGUCGAACGGUGAAGCAGGAGCUUGCUCUUGUGGAUCAGUGGCGAACGGGUGAGUAACACGUGAGCAACCUGCCCCUGACUCUGGGAUAAGCGCUGGAAACGGCGUCUAAUACUGGAUAUGUGAUGUGACCGCAUGGUCUGCAUCUGGAAAGAAUUUCGGUUGGGGAUGGGCUCGCGGCCUAUCAGCUUGUUGGUGAGGUAAUGGCUCACCAAGGUGUCGACGGGUAGCCGGCCUGAGAGGGUGACCGGCCACACUGGGACUGAGACACGGCCCAGACUCCUACGGGAGGCAGCAGUGGGGAAUAUUGCACAAUGGGCGGAAGCCUGAUGCAGCAACGCCGCGUGGGGGAUGACGGCCUUCGGGUUGUAAACCUCUUUUAGCAGGGAAGAAGCGAAAGUGACGGUACCUGCAGAAAAAGCACCGGCUAACUACGUGCCAGCCGCCGCGGUAA